rnacentral:rRNA from 1 species
UUCCGGUAGGGGGGCCUGCGGAAGGAUCAUUACCGAGUGAGGGCCCUCUGGGUCCAACCUCCCCACCCGUGUUUAUCGUACCUUGUUGCUUCGGCGGGCCCGCCUCACGGCCGCCGGGGGGCAUCCGCCCCCGGGCCCGCGCCCGCCGAAGACACACAAACGAACUCUUGUCUGAAGAUUGCAGUCUGAGUACUUGACUAAAUCAGUUAAAACUUUCAACAACGGAUCUCUUGGUUCCGGCAUCGAUGAAGAACGCAGCGAAAUGCGAUAAGUAAUGUGAAUUGCAGAAUUCAGUGAAUCAUCGAGUCUUUGAACGCACAUUGCGCCCCCUGGUAUUCCGGGGGGCAUGCCUGUCCGAGCGUCAUUGCUGCCCUCAAGCACGGCUUGUGUGUUGGGCUCUCGCCCCCCGCUUCCGGGGGGCGGGCCCGAAAGGCAGCGGCGGCACCGCGUCCGGUCCUCGAGCGUAUGGGGCUUCGUCACCCGCUCUGUAGGCCCGGCCGGCGCCCGCCGGCGAACACCAUCAAUCUUAACCAGGUUGACCUCGGAUCAGGUAGGGAUACCCGCAUGAACUUAAGCAUAUCAAUAAGCCGGAAGGAAA